GCUGUGGUGGUUCAGUGGUGGAGUUCUCGCUUCUAUGCGGGAGAUCCGGGUUCCAUUCCCGGCCAGCGCA
rnacentral:tRNA from 1 species